rnacentral:tRNA from 1 species
AGCCCGGGUGGCGGAAUAGGCAGACGCAGAGGGCUUAAACCCCUCGGCUCUUUAACGGAGCGUGCGGGUUCAAGUCCCGCC